rnacentral:tRNA from 1 species
GGCCUCGUAGCUCAGCUGGUAGAUCACGCGCGUACAAAGCGUAGGCGGCGUCCAUGCGUGGGUUCGAAUCCUACCGAGGCUA